UACAGAGGGUGCUAGCGUUGUUCGGAAUCAUUGGGCGUAAAGGGCGUGUAGGCGGUUUGUUAAGUCAUGUGUGAAAGCCCCCGGCUCAACCGGGGAACGACGCAUGAAACUGGCAAGCUAGAGUACCGAAGAGGGGGGUGGAAUUCCACGUGUAGCAGUGAAAUGCGUAGAGAUGUGGAGGAACACCGAUGGCGAAGGCAGCCCCCUGGGCUAACACUGACGCUCAUGCACGAAAGCGUGGGGAGCAAACAGG
rnacentral:rRNA from 1 species